rnacentral:rRNA from 1 species
GGGCCCGCACAAGCGGUGGAGCAUGUGGUUUAAUUCGAUGAUACGCGAGGAACCUUACCAGGGCUUAAAUGUAAGUUGCAUAGAUCAGAGAUGGUCUUUUCUUCGGACUACUUACAAGGUGCUGCAUGGUUGUCGUCAGCUCGUGCCGUGAGGUGUCAGGUUAAGUCCUAUAACGAGCGCAACCCCUGUCGUUAGUUGCCAGCAAGUUAAGUUGGGCACUCUAGCGAGACUGCCAGUGCAAACUGUGAGGAAGGUGGGGAUGACGUCAAAUCAUCACGGCCCUUACGUCCUGGGCUACACACGUGCUACAAUGGCCGGUACAGAGAGCAGCCACUACGCGAGUAGGAGCG